rnacentral:tRNA from 1 species
AGGAACUUAGGAUAACUUUAAACCAAGGACCUUCAAAGUCCUAAACAGGGGCUAAACCCCUAGUUCCUG